rnacentral:ribozyme from 14 species
CACAGAGCACGAGGAUAUUCUUCCCUCCAGGCCGGAACGGGUCGGGAAAAAAGGCGCAUGGCUUGAG